rnacentral:sRNA from 1 species
AUAUGAACAACGCAAAAUACCAACGUUCCUUCAAAAAGCAUUCCUACGAGGUUACUACUUCCCAAGCGGUGAUCCAUGAUGUACGGAAAUCGUCUAGUGGAAUGGAGAUCAAAUUCACCUGUAGUCGAUCUUGGGUGCAGUGCCAGUCUCGCUCUUGGAGAUUGUGAUUGGGAUUGCAAUGAUUGACCACACAU